rnacentral:rRNA from 1 species
UACGUAGGGGGCUAGCGUUGUCCGGAAUCAUUGGGCGUAAAGCGCGUGUAGGCGGCCCGGUAAGUCCGCUGUAAAAGUCGGGGGCUCAACCCUCGAAAGCCGGUGGAUACUGUCGGGCUAGAGUACGGAAGAGGCGAGUGGAAUUCCUGGUGUAGCGGUGAAAUGCGCAGAUAUCAGGAGGAACACCAGUGGCGAAGGCGGCUUCCUGGCCUGUUCUUGACGCUGAGGCGCGAAAGCUAGGGGAGCAAACGGG